CGGGGUGUAGCGCAGUUUGGUAGCGCGCAUGAUUCGGGAUCAUGAAGUCGGAGGUUCAAAUCCUCUCACUCCGA
rnacentral:tRNA from 1 species